rnacentral:rRNA from 1 species
UACGAAGGGGGCUAGCGUUGUUCGGAAUUACUGGGCGUAAAGCGCACGUAGGCGGAUUGGUCAGUUAGGGGUGAAAUCCCAGGGCUCAACCCUGGAACUGCCUUUAAUACUGCCAGUCUUGAGUUCGAGAGAGGUGAGUGGAAUUCCGAGUGUAGAGGUGAAAUUCGUAGAUAUUCGGAGGAACACCAGUGGCGAAGGCGGCUCACUGGCUCGAUACUGACGCUGAGGUGCGAAAGCGUGGGGAGCAAACAGG